rnacentral:rRNA from 1 species
GACGAACGCUGGCGGCGUGCUUAACACAUGCAAGUCGAACGGAAAGGCCCUGCGUUUGUGGGGUGCUCGAGUGGCGAACGGGUGAGUAACACGUGAGUAACCUGCCCUUGACUUUGGGAUAACUUCAGGAAACUGGGGCUAAUACCGGAUAGGAGCUCCUGCUGCAUGGUGGGGGUUGGAAAGUUUCGGCGGUUGGGGAUGGACUCGCGGCUUAUCAGCUUGUUGGUGGGGUAGUGGCUUACCAAGGCUUUGACGGGUAGCCGGCCUGGGAGGGUGACCGGCCACAUUGGGACUGAGAUACGGCCCAGACUCCUACGGGAGGCAGCAGUGGGGAAUAUUGCACAAUGGGCGGAAGCCUGAUGCAGCAACGCCGCGUGCGGGAUGACGGCCUUCGGGUUGUAAACCGCUUUCGCCUGUGACGAAGCGUGAGUGACGGUAAUGGGUAAAGAAGCACCGGCUAACUACGUG